CAAGUUAAAAAAAAAUAAAUAAAUAGAAAAAAAAAAGGAACUGUGUGACCAGGAAAGUUUAGAAAAACUUCAGUUUUUCUGAUGUUUCUGAACUGACUAUUAAUUUAAAAAUCUGAUAUUGAUGGUAAUUUCUUCACACUGUGGUAGAAUAUUAAUUCAGCUUUUAUUCUAAAAACUGUGAGAUAGAGUCUAAAAAACAUAAUCAUUUCAUUUUUCUUGCCAUAAAAAUCCUCAGAGGAGUUUUUAACGUUCCCUCCAGUUCUGACCUCACAGUCGAAUCCCAUAAAAGAGAAAAAGUCCGGACUUCAUUACAGAGGAAAGCUGAUCCUGGGAUUGUUAAUUUUCAGAUCAAAUGUUGCGAUCCCUGUGGGAGUCUAGAGAACUCAAACGGAGAAGCUUCGGUUUCACAGAUUCUGGCUGAAAACCAAUAAAUAAAGUGAGUCGUUCCACUUUGUCCUGCAUGCCGUAGGGGGUGGGGGGGUGGGGGGGCGUUUGAUGCUGGCUGUCUUUCCUCAGGAGUGGAGACCAUCACAGAUCUCUGCUAGCAUCAGGCUACAUUACAGAGGCUGGAAGGCUCCAGCACAGAGAGAACAUCGGCCUCCGUGAAGAUCAGGAGGAUCACAUCAGAAGAAGUCACACCAACAACUCUUCCUUCUAAAUCUGUCCUUUUGAUUGUAGAACGUUUCCAACAUGCUGCCGACCGUCCUGAAGCAGAGCUAGAAGAUGAGACGGUUUUAAUAGGACGGCGGUUGAGCCGUAAAGUUUCUUUGUUUCUCUCUGACUGUGUGUUUUACAGGAAGUUUCCACGACACUCCAAAUACCUGCUCCAUCCUGAGAGCCGAACGUAAAGACUCAGACGACAGGAGGAAACCGCUGCUGAAGGCUGCAGGACACUGACAGAUGAGAGUCUGUUCAGCCUGAGUUCAUGCUAACGAUAACGAGCAGCAGGAACAUUUGAGGGUUUACGGACUACAGAACCAGCAGAACCAGCAGAAUCAGACCCAGAUCUACGGGGACAUUAAAGACACAAAUGGAGUGGAGAUGCUCGUGUGACGGCGAACAGAGGUGGAGUCUGGAGACUUAAGUUUUCCCCGUUUUCCAGCUCCAAUCCCAGCAGCUGGAGGCCCGUCUCCACAUGCAAACCGAAUGAUUCGAUAUCAGGCAGAAAUGCUCAUCUGAAAAGCAUAAAAGACGCCGUCUGUGUGGUCUGGGUCAACUCCAGAGGAGCUGAGGAGGAGGAGGAGGAGGAGGAGGAGGUGCUCCUGGAGCAGAACACAUGCAGACUGGACUCCCUUUGUUCUCCACCUUUGUGCCAAAUUGGGUGAAAUUCUUCCAGUGGCGAGUAUCAAUUCCUCUCUUCAAACAAACAUUCAGGCUCUUGAAUAUCAACACGUCUCUCUUUAUGGCAGCUGAUACACAGGGACCACACACAGGGGUCACUUUUCUGCAGCAGCCGUCUGCUCGCUCCGACACCACUGGAACUUCUGCGAUGAGUCGGCCCGUCAGAGCGGAUUCCUUCUGGAAUCAUCUCCUGACCACUAAGCUAACGUUAGCAUUCCGUCUGCAGCAUCAUCCAUCAUUUCUUAAGCACCACGUCUAGAAUGCAAAGACUUUAACUUCUCCAAAGAUUACACAUCAAAGACGAGGAUCCAACCUGGAUUAAAUCUUCAGUGAAAGUCUUCAGUCAGGAUCAGAACCUCCAGUAGUUACAUUUGAGUUCAGCAGAUGCAAAUAUUCAACUAUAACAGAAGAUGAAGCAGAUUACAAAAACAUCUUCAUUUCUUUAAAAUGUUUUUAAAAUCUUUGACUAAAGAACCAGUUAACUAGUUUCAGAGAGACGAGUCAACAAAAGUAUGUUCAAAUAAACUCCUGAGGUUUUCUAUUCUUAUAAUUCAUUUUUAAAUAAUUUGUUGGAUCUUGUGACAUGAAACUUUGCAGAAACAUUUUUAUACGUCUCCAGGUGGAACUAAGUCAAUUAUUUUUGGAAAAUUUAGCAAAAAUGUUUCUCCAUAUAUUUAGUUUGUUUGGUUUAAAGAGCGUCCUGACCUGCUGCUGAGUUUGAGUUGUACAAAGUUCCUAAAGAGACAUUGAAGGUAAACGGAAAAUACAGUUCAUUACCAGAAAAAAGAAGUAUCACUUAAAGAAUUAAACUUUACUCAAAACCAUUUUAACUUUCAAUUUUAGUUAAAAAAACAUUUUUACUUCACAUUUUAUUAAAAAUAAAUGUUUUACUUCAGUUUUUAGAAAACAUAAAAAUGUUUUACUUUAAUUUUUAGAAUGAAAAUGAUUUCUUUAACUAUAUAUAUUCCUACAUAUUCCCUUUUUUCCAGUUACUGCCUGGUGUGAACCAGUUAGUAAAACAUUUGUCUUUCAAUUUUUAGAAAUAAAAAUAAAAAACUUUAAUUUUUGGAAAUGAGAAAAAAAAUGUUUCUUUAAUAUUUUUAUUUCAAUUGUAGAAUUUUUUAAUCACUAUCUGGUGCACAUCAGUCAGCAAACAGAAAAAAUGUAUUUACUUCAAUUUGUAGAAAAUAAAAACACAUGGUGGAUAUUUAUGAAUUAAACAGAGAAAGAUCUGCAGCCUCGACUUUAAACCACCUCAUCAAUGGACGGACCUUCAACCAGAGGACUCCAGAACCAGACUGCAGUUCUGGAGGGAAACAGUCCAACAGCUGAUGAUGUUUUCAGACAACAAAGUAAAUCCACAAACGAUCCGACUGACAUCCUUUCUCUGCUGAUAGUCAGAACUCAUGAACUUUCCCGUAUGUUCCCAGAGAAUCAGACUUUUAUUUUGGUGAUCAACCUCUGGGAUCCGGUUCCCUCCUACCAGCUGGUUCUGUCAGACUCCAUCAGGGAGUUUUGGAAAGUGUGAAACCGAGUCAAAAGUCCGCGGCGCUCCAGAACACCGGGGCGUUUUCACACAGGAAGGGGAAAAGGAGGCUCUGAUUUCUGCGCGUGUUGACAGAACGAGGACGGUCCAUCCAGAAAGCUCUCCCAGCGGCUGCAUGAAGCAGAACCGGGCCAGAACCGCCGGCCUUCGGUCCAUGAUGUCACCGCCUCGCCGAUCGAAGGGCAGCGAGCUUCAACCGGGCUUUUACUGCUGCAAUUAGAGACCAAAUGAAGUCCAGGUGUGACCCGUCCCCCAGCAGCAGCUGAAGGAGCGGCGGGCUCCAGCAGAACCCGAAUCCAAAACAAACAGAACCUUUUUGAGUGCUGGAGCCGAUCUGAGGCUGCAGGCUGGAGGAAAACGCCUCAAGCAUGUCACGGUCGGCAGGUUCUGGGUUCCUGCCUCCAUCUUUUCUAGAACCUUCCCUUCCUGAAGACGUUUGUUGUUCUUGCAGGUCAUGGAGGCGCCUGUUAAAGUGACCGGACCGGAACCAGAUCACCUUUCACUGGGAGCCGCUCGCCAAACGGCCCCGAGGCUUCCAGUAAAACCCUCAUUUCCUCACAAAUCCUAAACAUCAAUAUUGGUUUUAGACCAGAAAAACUAUUUACGUCACAAACGGAACAGAAUAAAGAGGUUUCCACGUCUGCCUCGACUUUAUGGAGACUGAAGGUUCUGGGAGGACGGUUUCUGGGGCUUAUUGUACUACAGAUGGUGAAGAACACGCUCACAACAGCUGAACAAGAACGUUCAGCUGCUGUCACUCAGGACAAAGUUCUCUCACAUGAACAGAAGCGUCCAAACUUCUGGUUCCUCGGACUCCAGACAGCAGGAGAGUCGGACUCAAUCAGAGGACCGGAAUCCAAAACACACUUCAGGCUGCAGUUCCAGCAGACGGUCAUUUGGGGGCGCUGUUGUCUCAACGAGCUCUUAACAAAAGCAGGAAGAAGAAGCUCCUCCCUCCACCUCCGAAACUCCGCAGACAUCCGGAGCUUGCAGCCCCUCCUCCCUUCAGAAGGUCGGUCUGCGUUCACACUGAAGUGAACCGGACCAGAGUCCACCUGAAGGAGUUCUGUUGGGUCCAGAGUCCAGAUGAGCUUUCACAGCAGCCCAACCAGGAGGAGCAUCAGACUAGGAUCAGAGCUGUCAGGAUCGGUGUCCUACAACACACCUGAUCCAGGUGAUCCGCAGCAGAUCUGGCUGGAGGCCGACCCAGAUCCCCUCAGACUACGUCUACGGUCCUCUUCUUCCUUUCAUCUUCUCCCAGCAGCUGGAAUGGGAACUUCUUAAGAACUGAAAAGUCGUCCUUCUAGAGUUCUGUGCAUGUCUUGGGAGGGGUCAGAGGUCACGUUGAUGCUCCUCAGGACUUCCUCUCAGAGGCGGAGAGCCGAUGAUGUCACACGGGGUCGUGGGGUCGAGCUCUGGGAGCUUCUGGAGAAUUUUCCUCCAUUCCUGCUUGAAGAAACGGAGUUCCGCUGUUCCAGAUGUCGCCUCAGACGACGAUAACAUCUCCUGUUGAGGAGAGGCGGUCAUGGAGCCGGCUCCAGAACGGGUCGGGUUCCUCUGAGUGGUCGUGUCGACGAGUGUUGUUGUGUUUCCACUUGUGUUUGUGCAGCAGCUGAAACCUCCAUUCAUGCUCGCUUGUGUUUGUUUAACUCCACGUUGAUCUGCUGCCGCCGUGCCUCGCUGGCUUCCUGCACGCCACGCCGCUCGCCAGCUUUGAAACCGGAGAUGACCGAGGGGAGAGGGGGCUCCUCUGGGGAGCGGGCACCCCCCCCCCCAUCCAGACUCAAAUCAGGAACCUCACAGAGGAGCUAGUUAGCCUUAGCGCCAUGUGACCUGCAGAUGAACGUGAGGGUGGGUUCUAAAGACCGACCUGGUAA